rnacentral:lncRNA from 1 species
ACAGCCCAGCCUAACAGGAGCUCAAUGACGGCAUCAUAAGAUAAUUACCCUUUAAGUGCUGACUGCACAUCCCUACAGCAUCAGCCUUGGGAUAAUGGUGAAGAAGUGUUAGAGGAAUACAUAAUUUCAAUGAUGAGCUGCAGCAAUAUGCCUGCAGUAAAAAAUACAAUGAAGCUGGACCUCAGAAAAAAAUGAGAUUGUAUUCUAGGUGAUCCUUCUGCAGCUGUAUGUAUAUAUAGCAGACAAGGUAAGUAGCUGCCUCCCGAAUCACUUACUGAACGUGUGUGAAGAGCAAUACACAAAGAAAGCCUUCAAGUGUUCUCUAAAAGAUUCAGAAUGUUUUUGUUAGUUAUACAAGGCAUACCUGGCCUGGUUGUUUCAUUUCUUAUGUGCACGUUAGUUUUGAAUUAAAAAUGUGAAACACAUUUGAAGUCUAAAUUUAAAUGCUACGGACAGUAGAUAGCAAGGAUUCGUGCCCAGUGAGCCCAGCUAACUGCCAAUAUUCCCAA